GACGAACGCUGGCGGCGUGGAUUAGGCAUGCAAGUCGAACGGUAUCAUCCUUUCGGGGGUGAGAGAGUGGCGAACUGGUGAGUAACACGUAGGUUAUCUACCCUCAAGACGGGGACAACCCAGGGAAACUUGGGCUAAUACCGGAUGUGAGCAACUUUUUAGUUGUUUGAAAGGUGGCGUAAGCUGUCGCUUGGGGAUGAGCCUGCGUCCUAUUAGUUAGUUGGUGAGGUAACGGCUCACCUAGGCAAUGAUAGGUAGGCGGCCUUAACGGGUGGUCGCCCACACUGGGAUUGAGAUACGGCCCAGACUCCUACGGGAGGCAGCAGUCGAGAAUAGUCUACAAUGGUCGGAAGACUGAUAGUGCGACGCCGCGUGAACGAUGAAUCCCUUCGGGGUGUAAAGUUCUUUUAUAUGUGAGCAGUGCUUCUUAUAUUAACAGUAUGGGGAAGAGAUAUUAGCAUAUGAAUAAGCAACGGCUAAACUCCGUGCCAGCAGCCGCGGU
rnacentral:rRNA from 1 species